GAUGAACGCUGGCGGCGUGCCUAAUACAUGCAAGUCGAACGAAACUUUUUUUAUCACCGAGUGCUUGCACUCACCGAUAAAGAGUUGAGUGGCGAACGGGUGAGUAACACGUGGGCAACCUGCCCAAAAGAGGGGGAUAACACUUGGAAACAGGUGCUAAUACCGCAUAACCAUAGUUACCGCAUGGUAACUAUGUAAAAGGUGGCUAUGCUACCGCUUUUGGAUGGGCCCGCGGUGCAUUAGCUAGUUGGUGGGGUAAAGGCUUACCAAGGCAAUGAUGCGUAGCCGAACUGAGAGGUUGAUCGGCCACAUUGGGACUGAGACACGGCCCAA
rnacentral:rRNA from 1 species